rnacentral:rRNA from 1 species
UGGGGAAUAUUGGACAAUGGGCGCAAGCCUGAUCCAGCCAUGCCGCGUGUGUGAAGAAGGCCUUAGGGUUGUAAAGCACUUUCAGUGGGGAGGAAGGGUGUUGUGUUAAUAGCACAGCAUUUUGACGUUACCCACAGAAGAAGCACCGGCUAACUCCGUGCCAGCAGCCGCGGUAAUACGGAGGGUGCAAGCGUUAAUCGGAAUUACUGGGCGUAAAGCGCACGCAGGCGGCUUUUUAAGUCGGAUGUGAAAGCCCCGGGCUCAACCUGGGAAUUGCAUCUGAUACUGGGAAGCUAGAGUAUGUGAGAGGGGGGUAGAAUUCCAAGUGUAGCGGUGAAAUGCGUAGAGAUUUGGAGGAAUACCAGUGGCGAAGGCGGCCCCCUGGCACAAUACUGACGCUCAGGUGCGAAAGCGUGGGGAGCAAAACAGGAUUAGAUACCCUGGUAGUCCACGCCGUAAACGAUGUCUACUAGAUGUUCGUGGUCUUGUACCGUGAGUAUCGCAGCUAACGCAUUAAGUAGACCGCCUGGGGAGUACGGUCGCAAGAUUAAAAACUCAAAGGAAUUGACGGGGUCAUAGCUG